UGGGGAAUAUUGGACAAUGGGCGAAAGCCUGAUCCAGCAAUGCCGCGUGGGUGAAGAAGGUCUUCGGAUUGUAAAGCCCUUUCGGCGGGGACGAUGAUGACGGUACCCGCAGAAGAAGCCCCGGCUAACUUCGUGCCAGCAGCCGCGGUAAUACGAAGGGGGCUAGCGUUGCUCGGAAUGACUGGGCGUAAAGGGCGCGUAGGCGGCGCACUUAGUCGGGCGUGAAAGUCCUGGGCUCAACCUGGGGACGGCGCUCGAUACGGGUGUGCUUGAGUGUGGAAGAGGGUUGUGGAAUUCCCAGUGUAGAGGUGAAAUUCGUAGAUAUCCGGAGGAACACCGGUGGCGAAGGCGGCCACCUGGACAGGUACUGACGCUGAGGCGCGAAAGCGUGGGGAGCAAACA
rnacentral:rRNA from 1 species